AUACUUACCUGGCAGGAGAGGUACCAUGAUCAUGAAGGUGGUUUCUCCAGGGUGAGGCUUAUUCAUUGCCCUCCAGAUGUGCUGACCCCUGCAAUUUCCCCAAAUGUGGGAAACUCGAUGCACAAUUUGUGAUAGGGGGAAAAAAAUUCUGUUGCAUUAUCUUG